rnacentral:misc_RNA from 1 species
AGAUAACGAGCGUUCUUCUUACUAAAACAGUUGUCUCUAACCUCUAGCCAACAAAAUUUCAUAACAAAUUAAUUCAAGUUAUUAUUUAAUAUUAUUACUAUUUUAAUAAGUGAAAUAAAAUGUUGAACGUCGGAGGAAGAUUGACAAGAAUAAUUGUUCGAAGUUAUGUUACGAAAUCCAAUGAAAUUGGAAAUCUUGUCAAAAAAAAUAAAGUUGUUGUCUUUAUGAAAGGCAUACCGGAGGAACCGAGAUGCGGUUUUAGUAAUGCUGUAGUUCAGAUAUUUAGAAUGCAUGGCGUUACUUAUGAUGCUCAUGAUGUUCUUCAAGAUGAAGAUCUUAGACAAGGUAUUAAAGAAUAUUCAAAGUGGCCAACAAUACCGCAGGUAUUUAUCAAUGGAGAUUUUGUUGGCGGCUGCGAUAUUUUAUUAGAAAUGCAUAAAAAUGGUGAACUAGUAGAAGAAUUGAAGAAAGUAGGUAUUAAAAGCGCCUUGUUGGAGAAAGAAGAUGCUUCUCAAAACGAAGCUACAAAAUCUAAAGAGUAGAAAGUGAUCUUCUAUUUAUUGUAAAUAAGACCGAUCUCGCAUCAGUAUAUAAUCCUUGUGCGAAAAGGAUGGAAACGAGAUGUGAAUUUGAAUUUAAAAAAAUUUAUGCCUCUGUCUAUUCAAUACGUAGAAAUCACAUAUUCUGUAGUUUUUUUCUUAAAAUUUUCCCAGCUGGACUUUUAGGAAUUUCGUUGAUGAACUGUACAUGUCCUAUUUGUUUGUAAUUGGAAACGUGUUUAGCAACAAAACUUUUUACGUCUUCUGGAUUAACGGUGCUACUUGAAAACCUUUUACUUUGAUCAAUUCUUUGGAGCGUCCUUCAAUGUAGAUGUAUCCUAGGUAAAUUUUACAUUGAUCAAUAUAAUAAUUAACACAUAAGGAUUAUAAUGAUUAUAUAAUUUUUUAUAUAAUUAAUACCUAAUUCAUCAUAUUUUCCUACAUCUCCAGUUUUUAUCCAAUCACCAUCCAUAGUAUCUUGAGUUGCUUGAGGAUUUUUAUAGUAACCUUUCAUUACUUGAGGUCCCUUAACAUAGAUUUCUCCAAUUUCAUUUGGUCCUACGUUGAUACUUUCAUCAUCUUUGUAUUUGACAAAACGUAAUUGUGUGUUAGACACAGGAAAACCUACUGAAUUGGCAGGAGCAGUUUUACUUAGUGUUACUACUGGACUGGUUUCAGUCAUACCGUACCUAUAAAUACAUAAAAAAAACUUUGAUUUACAAUCUUUUUUUCUUUGAAUUGUUAUCACAUUGAUGUAUAUUCUUACCCUUGCACAAAUUGCACUUUGUCGCUGACACGUUCAUGAAAUUUACUAAUAGUAUCUAUCCCCAGUGGUGCAGCUCCUGAUAUAAUCAUCCUUACAUGUUCAACAUGCCUUGAUGUAAUUUGUUCAUUAUUAACCAUCAUUUGUAUAAUCGGUGGUACCAAGUAUAACAAUGUCGGCUUAUAAUUUUCAAGGAUUUUUAUAUAAUCUUUUAUUGAAAAUUGCGGUAGACACACUAAUUUGGCGCCUAUUCUAUAAAUAGGAAUUAAUCUAUUAUAUUUAGUUAUAAUAAACAAAUAUAUAUGCAUAUAUGUAUAUGCAUACGUAUAUGGUGUCUAUCUAACUCAAGUAUUUUAGAUAUCUAAUUUAUUUGUUAAUGUAAGGUAAAAUUUUGUUAGAAGAGGCAAAUAUUUCGAUAGUUGAACGUUCCGAUGCCAAUGCGUUAGAGUAGUAUUAAUUUAAUCGAUAAAUUAUUUGGGAUGUUUAAAAUUCAAUAAAAAAGUAAAUGUACCUUAAAUAAUUACAAAUAAGAGGAACUAAGGCAUAUAUAUGAAAGAAAGGUAGUACCAUUGGUACAGUAUCCUGUGUCGUUUCAGUAGUACUUAUACCAAUUGAAACUUCUGGAGAACUUAUUUGAAGUAAAUUUGCAACAAUGUUCCUGAAAGAAUCAUGAUAUAGACAAUGAAUGAAAUAUACAAAUGUUCA